CUGGUUCAGGAUGAACGCUAGCGACAGGCCUAACACAUGCAAGUCAGGGGCAGCACAAGGAGCAAUCUGAGGUGGCGACCGGCGCACGGGUGAGUAACACGUAUGCAACCUGCCUGUAAGCGGGGAAUAACCCGUUGAAAGACGGACUAAUACCGCAUAAUACUAAAUUACUGCAUGGUAAUUUAUUUAAACAUUUAUGGCUUACAGAUGGGCAUGCGCAUGAUUAGCUAGUUGGAGAGGUAACGGCUCCCCAAGGCAACGAUCAUUAGGGGUUCUGAGAGGAAGGUCCCCCCACACUGGUACUGAGACACGGACCAGACUCCUACGGGAGGCAGCAGUGAGGAAUAUUGGUCAAUGGACGAGAGUCUGAACCAGCCAAGUCGCGUGCAGGAAGAAUGUCCUAUGGAUUGUAAACUGCUUUUGCAGGGGAAUAAAGUGCAUCACGUGUGAUGUUUUGUAUGUACUCUGCGAAUAAGGAUCGGCUAACUCCGUGCCAGCCGCCGC
rnacentral:rRNA from 1 species